rnacentral:tRNA from 1 species
CUGCGGUUGGAUCACCUCCUUUCUAGAGUACUAAAGUAAUAAGUCUCACAACUAUUACUUCAAUAAACUCAAUCAUCCUUGUUUAGAUUUCAAAGAUUGAUGAAAAAGCUAAUUUUGGGGAAUUAGCUCAGCUGGGAGAGCGCCUGCUUUGCACGCAGGAGGUCAGCGGUUCGAUCCCGCUAUUCUCCACCAUUAUUAAGGGCCUAUAGCUCAGCUGGUUAGAGUGCACCCCUGAUAAGGGUGAGGUCACAAGUUCAAGUCUUGUUAGGCCCACCAUAAAAAAGAUUUGUUUGCAAUAUAAAUAUAUAAGUUUUAAAACUUAAAGUAAGUAUAUUAAAUAUAUUUAUAAAUAAAAAUAUUUUAAUUAUUAAUUUACUUACUUUAGGUUUUAAGACCUAAAUUAAAUAAAUAAUAAAAUAUUUUAUAUAUUAGAUUAGUUAUUUAAAGUUAUUUGAAUUAUCAUUGUUAAGAGUCACAAGCAAGUUUUAAUAAAAACAAUUUUACAGGACUUGUUAAAGAAUAAAAUUAUUAUUAUCUUUGCUUUAAUCCUUAAAGAUUAAAGAUAAGUUUUAAACUCACAGCUUAUUAGCUAUAUUUAGUUAUUAAGUGUUUAAAUGCUUUCCGUCUUGAGAUAGUAAGGUUUUAUUGUAAAAACUUUAACAAGGAAGUGAUGCGUUUUAGAAUAAAAGGUAAAAAAGGUAAGCUACUAAGAGCGAAUG